AGAUUCCAUGAUUUGGAGAGCUAGGAAUGGCAAUGGCGCCGUGCUGCGAAUGAGCACUCCCACAGUUUUAUCGCUCCAAGGCACUUUUAUGUGCACGAGCACAACAGAUGAUGGUGGAUAAUUCUCUUUUGUGGUCCUCUCUAGCAGGUCACGUCGUGCAUUCCUUCUUGAAGAGUGGAGUCACGUAAUUUUCUGGUGAAAGAGAGAAAGAGAGAGGGAGAGAUUCUCGCCAAAGAGGUUGGAAGUUCUUUUAUUUUUUGGUUUAUCAUUGAGAAACGGAACACAAACUUUCCUUCUACGAACAGUCACUAGAAAGGCUAUAUAUCUUUGAUCUGCCUGAUGUUUUCGCGCUUUUACAGGCACCUCCAGUAGCAGAGCUGAAAGCUAUCGGAGAGUCGGAUGCGACCAAAGUUUCUAGUUCCUCAGUCGGCAGUUUUUGCGAAUCUCGCCUUCAGCCUUGACGUUAAUAGCACCCAUCCGGACCAUGGCGUUUGCGAACUU